UUGAACGCUGGCGGCAGGCCUAACACAUGCAAGUCGAGCGGUAGCACAGAGAGCUUGCUCUCGGGUGACGAGCGGCGGACGGGUGAGUAAUGUCUGGGAAACUGCCUGAUGGAGGGGGAUAACUACUGGAAACGGUAGCUAAUACCGCAUAACGUCGCAAGACCAAAGUGGGGGACCUUCGGGCCUCAUGCCAUCAGAUGUGCCCAGAUGGGAUUAGCUAGUAGGUGGGGUAACGGCUCACCUAGGCGACGAUCCCUAGCUGGUCUGAGAGGAUGACCAGCCACACUGGAACUGAGACACGGUCCAGACUCCUACGGGAGGCAGCAGUGGGGAAUAUUGCACAAUGGGCGCAAGCCUGAUGCAGCCAUGCCGCGUGUGUGAAGAAGGCCUUCGGGUUGUAAAGCACUUUCAGCGGGGAGGAAGGCGGUGAGGUUAAUAACCUCACCGAUUGACGUUACCCGCAGAAGAAGCACCGGCUAACUCCGUGCCAGCAGCCGCGGUAAUACGGAGGGUGCAAGCGUUAAUCGGAAUUACUGGGCGUAAAGCGCACGCAGGCGGUCUGUCAAGUCGGAUGUGAAAUCCCCGGGCUCAACCUGGGAACUGCAUUCGAAACUGGCAGGCUAGAGUCUUGUAGAGGGGGGUAGAAUUCCAGGUGUAGCGGUGAAAUGCGUAGAGAUCUGGAGGAAUACCGGUGGCGAAGGCGGCCCCCUGGACAAAGACUGACGCUCAGGUGCGAAAGCGUGGGGAGCAAACAGGAUUAGAUACCCUGGUAGUCCACGCCGUAAACGAUGUCGAUUUGGAGGUUGUGCCCUUGAGGCGUGGCUUCCGGAGCUAACGCGUUAAAUCGACCGCCUGGGGAGUACGGCCGCAAGGUUAAAACUCAAAUGAAUUGACGGGGGCCCGCACAAGCGGUGGAGCAUGUGGUUUAAUUCGAUGCAACGCGAAGAACCUUACCUGGUCUUGACAUCCACAGAACUUUCCAGAGAUGGAUUGGUGCCUUCGGGAACUGUGAGACAGGUGCUGCAUGGCUGUCGACAGCUCGUGUUGUGAAAUGUUGGGUUAAGUCCCGCAACGAGCGCAACCCUUAUCCUUUGUUGCCAGCGGUUAGGCCGGGAACUCAAAGGAGACUGCCAGUGAUAAACUGGAGGAAGGUGGGGAUGACGUCAAGUCAUCAUGGCCCUUACGACCAGGGCUACACACGUGCUACAAUGGCAUAUACAAAGAGAAGCGACCUCGCGAGAGCAAGCGGACCUCAUAAAGUAUGUCGUAGUCCGGAUUGGAGUCUGCAACUCGACUCCAUGAAGUCGGAAUCGCUAGUAAUCGUAGAUCAGAAUGCUACGGUGAAUACGUUCCCGGGCCUUGUACACACCGCCCGUCACACCAUGGGAGUGGGUUGCAAAAGAAGUAGGUAGCUUAACCUUCGGGAGGGCGCUUACCACUUUGUGAUUCAUGACUGGGGUG
rnacentral:rRNA from 1 species